rnacentral:rRNA from 1 species
CCUACGGGUGGCUGCAGUGGGAAUAUUGGACAAUGGGGGGAACCCUGAUCCAGCCAUGCCGCGUGUGUGAAGAAGGCCCUCGGGUUGUAAAGCACUUUCAGUGAGGAAGAACGCCUGGUGGUUAAUACCCAUCAGGAAAGACAUCACUCACAGAAGAAGCACCGGCUAACUCCGUGCCAGCAGCCGCGGUAAUACGGAGGGUGCGAGCGUUAAUCGGAAUUACUGGGCGUAAAGCGCGCGUAGGUGGCUUGAUAAGCCGGUUGUGAAAGCCCCGGGCUCAACCUGGGAACGGCAUCCGGAACUGUCAAGCUAGAGUGCAGGAGAGGAAGGUAGAAUUCCCGGUGUAGCGGUGAAAUGCGUAGAGAUCGGGAGGAAUACCAGUGGCGAAGGCGGCCUUCUGGACUGACACUGACACUGAGGUGCGAAAGCGUGGGUAGCAAACAGGAUUAGAUACCCGGGUAGUC